GUGAUCAUACCAGCAUGAAUGCACCGGAUCCUAUCUGAACUCUGAAGUUAAGCUUGCUUGGGCGAGGGCAGUACUAGGAUGGGUGACCCCCUGGGAAGUCCUCGUGUUGCACCU
rnacentral:rRNA from 1 species